GAGAUUCAUGGGAUUGGCAAGAUGCCAUACUUCUUUGUUGGCGAUGAAGCUUUCCCCCUCAAACCGUAUUUAAUGAGACCUUUUCCUGGCCGAGGUUAAACCACCACAAGAAAAGUUUUCAACUACCGCCUCUCACGAGCUCGACGAGUCAUUGAGAAUGCCUUUGGCAUCCUGGUUGCCCGGUGGCGGUUCCUCAAGCAAGCGGUCACUGCUCACCCGGACAGUGUAAUCAGAUGUGUGAAGGCAGCAGUUGCACUGCAUAACUUCCUCAGGAUUGAAGAGUCUGCUCUCUAUUGUCCAGCUGGGUUCACAGACAGUGAAGAUGGAGACGGAAACUUGAUCCCAGGGAAUUGGCGGAAGAAGAAGUCAACUGGCCUGCUGCCGAUAAAUGAACAUGGUGCUCACAGGUAUUCCAUUCGUGCCGGUGAUGUCCGUGUCAACCUGGCUGCCUACUUCCGCUCACGCCGGGGCAGGCUGAGUUGGCAGAAGAAGCAUAUCCAGUCAACAGGGUAGGGUGCCUUUGAAAGUUGAUGCUCUGAAAGUCUUCACUUGACCCUUGUCGCAUCAAGUGUUGGCCUCGUUUGUGGUGUAUGACUCCCACACUGUGUUCUAUUCAAUUCAUCAUGUGUGUGAAGCGUACUGUGCACAGUUGAUUGGU